AGAGUUUGAUCCUGGCUCAGGAUGAACGCUGGCGGCGUGCCUAACACAUGCAAGUCGAACGAAGCUUGACGGAUGAUUUCUUCGGAAUGAAACCAGAUAUGACUUAGUGGCGGACGGGUGAGUAACACGUGAGCAACCUGCCUUUCAGAGGGGGAUAACGGCUGGAAACGGUCGCUAAUACCGCAUGAUGUGUUCGGAUGGCAUCAUCUGAACAUCAAAGAUUUAUCGCUGAAAGAUGGGCUCGCGUCUGAUUAGAUAGUUGGUGGGGUAACGGCCUACCAAGUCGACGAUCAGUAGCCGGACUGAGAGGUUGAACGGCCACAUUGGGACUGAGAUACGGCCCAGACUCCUACGGGAGGCAGCAGUGGGGAAUAUUGCACAAUGGGGGAAACCCUGAUGCAGCAACGCCGCGUGAAGGAUGACGGUUUUCGGAUUGUAAACUUCUUUUCUUAGUGACGAAGACAGUGACGGUAGCUAAGGAAUAAGCAUCGGCUAACUACGUGCCAGCAGCCGCGGUAAUACGUAGGAUGCAAGCGUUAUCCGGAUUUACUGGGUGUAAAGGGAGCGCAGGCGGGACUGCAAGUUGGGUGUGAAAUACCGUGGCUUAACCACGGAACUGCAUCCAAAACUGUAGUUCUUGAGUGAAGUAGAGGCAAGCGGAAUUCCGAGUGUAGCGGUGAAAUGCGUAGAUAUUCGGAGGAACACCAGUGGCGAAGGCGGCUUGCUGGGCUUUAACUGACGCUGAGGCUCGAAAGUGUGGGGAGCAAACAGGAUUAGAUACCCUGGUAGUCCACACUGUAAACGAUGAUAGCUAGGUGUGGGGGGUCUGACCCCUUCCGUGCCGGAGUUAACGCAAUAAGCUAUCCACCUGGGGAGUACGACCGCAAGGUUGAAACUCAAAGGAAUUGACGGGGGCCCGCACAAGCAGUGGAGUAUGUGGUUUAAUUCGACGCAACGCGAAGAACCUUACCAAGUCUUGACAUCCCUUGACGAUGCUGGAAACAGUAUUUCUCUUCGGAGCAAGGAGACAGGUGGUGCAUGGUUGUCGUCAGCUCGUGUCGUGAGAUGUUGGGUUAAGUC
rnacentral:rRNA from 1 species